rnacentral:rRNA from 1 species
CCUACGGGCGGCAGCAGUGAGGAAUAUUGGUCAAUGGGCGAGAGCCUGAACCAGCCAAGUCGCGUGAGGGACGACGGUCCUAUGGAUUGUAAACCUCUUUUGUCGGGGAACAAAGGCGCCCACGGGUGGGCGGAUGAGUGUACCCGAAGAAAAAGCAUCGGCUAACUCCGUGCCAGCAGCCGCGGUAAUACGGAGGAUGCAAGAGUUAUACGGAUUUAUUGGGUUAAAAGGGGGCGUAGGCGGACAGUCAAGUCAACGGUAAAAAUGCGUUGCUCAACGCCGUACAGCCGUUAGAGCUGGCAGUCUUGAGUGGGCGUGAGGUAUGCGGUAUGCGUGGUGUAGCGGUGAAAUGCAUAGAUAUCACGCAGAACUCCGAUUGCGAAGGCAGCAUACCGGCGCCCUACUGACGCUGAGGCACGAAAGCGUGGGUAUCGAACAGGAUUAGAUACCCCAGUAGUC